rnacentral:lncRNA from 1 species
GAUCCGUUCAUUCCUUUUUUCCUAAUAGAUGGUCAAAAAUUUAUCUGAUUUCAAAUCUUGAUGAGAGGGCUACAAGAGAUCAGAAAUUGUUGAAGAAACAACAAAAUCUUUCUUUCGUCCCUUCUAGGAGAUCGAAAAGUAAAGAUAUAGUUAAUAUAUUUAAGAUAAUUACGUAAUAACAAAUUACUAUCUCAAUUCAUACUAUCUCGUCAAAUCUAGCAUGUAACAGGGUUCCGAAUGAUAAACCAAACUUGACCAUUCCAAUAUGAUUUCAUUCUUGAACAAAAAUCCAUUUUUUGAUUUAUUUCAUCUAUUUUAUAAUCAGAAAGGCAAGGAUAUACUAAACACCAUGAUUUUUUAUUUGAAGAGAGAUUUCAAGAAAUGGCAAUCUAUUCGCCCUAUCAAUAACCGAGCCAGAUCUAGCGUAUCAUAAGGGAUUUACCUUUUCUAUUGAUUCCUACGGAUUGGAUCAACGAUAAACAGACACUACGUAA